UAGGAAUGAUCUCUUGAAUUUGUGGUAGUU
rnacentral:piRNA from 1 species